UUUGAGGUGGACGAGGAGAGUGAGGGCAUUGUCGACGUGCCGAAAGGAAGAGCGGGCAAUUACACCAACAAAGAUGACAUCUUACUAUGCUAUACUUGGUUGCAAGUGUCGAGGGAUCCAUCCGUUGGAGGUGAUCAAAGUAGAGAUGCUUAUUGGGGGCGGAUGAAAGAACACUUUGAUGCUCACAACGUGAGUGGAAUUGACCGCUCCGAGAGAUCACUUCGGUCCCGAUGGUCGACAAUCAACUUGGAUUGUCAAAAGUGGGCGGCCGAACAAAAAUCGGUUGACAAGUUGAACCCAAGUGGCACAAAUGAGGACGAUAGAAACUUGUUCAAAGAAGAGGUGAGGACAACCAAGAAGGGGAAGAUCAAGAAAGGACGGAUCUUUACAUUGCCUCAUUGCUAUGAAGUGUUGAAGGAUGAUGAGAAAUGGAAGAAGCGUGAUGGUUUGGAUGAUUUGCAUUGGAGCAACAAAUGCAAGCGAACAAUUGAGUUGAAUGAUGAUGAUGAGGAGGAAGAGGAUGAUGCAUCAAGUGAUGACGGCAAGAGAAGCCCCACACCCAACUCGGUUUCAUACUCGAAGCCAAAACGACCGGAUGGUGCAAGAAAGAAAAAACCGAAAAGAAGAAGAGGAAAGGAGAUGAUGAGCUCAAAAAUGCUAUGGAAGCUAUUGUGA
rnacentral:rRNA from 1 species